rfam:Candidatus Entotheonella sp. TSY1 genomic scaffold TSY1_scaffold00128, whole genome shotgun sequence.
AGCGGUGUGCUUCUGGGAAGCAGGUGGCCUCCAAAGCCGCCCAGCGGGGUUCGACUCCUCGCACCGCUG